UGCCCAGUGAUGAUACAUCCUUGCUCCCCGUGCCCUCCGGGGCUAUGGGCGACAACAUGGGUGCCCUGGGCUGGGCCAGUUGGGCCGUUGCCUGGGGGCUGAGGGCA
rnacentral:snoRNA from 1 species